GUGUUGUUGAAUUUCAGUGGUGGGCCGUCAGGGCCUGCAAGGCCUUCUCUGCUGGCCUAAAAAUAUCAGAAUCACAGACUGAUGUUAAUUAUAUUUUGUCCAUGAAUACGUAUUAAAUAAAUCCAAAUGGUCUGUCCGCUUCCUCUCAUUGCUAGCCCCCUGGUUGCGCUGCUUCCAGACGUGUAUUUUCAUAUUUAAGCAUU